rnacentral:rRNA from 1 species
CCUACGGGGGGCAGCAGUGAGGAAUAUUGGUCAAUGGACGAGAGUCUGAACCAGCCAAGUAGCGUGAAGGAUGACUGCCCUAUGGGUUGUAAACUUCUUUUAUAUGGGAAUAAAACGUUCCACGUGUGGGAUUUUGUAUGUACCAUAUGAAUAAGGAUCGGCUAACUCCGUGCCAGCAGCCGCGGUAAUACGGAGGAUCCGAGCGUUAUCCGGAUUUAUUGGGUUUAACGGGAGCGUAGGUGGAUUGUUAAGUCAGUUGUGAAAGUUUGCGGCUCAACCGUAAAAUUGCAGUUGAAACUGGCAGUCUUGAGUACAGUAGAGGUAGGCGGAAUUCGUGGUGUAGCGGUGAAAUGCUUAGAUAUCACGAAGAACUCCGAUUGCGAAGGCAGUUCACUGGACUGCAACUGACACUGAGGCUCGAAAGUGUGGGUAUCAAACAGGAUUAGAUACCCGAGUAGUC